rnacentral:tRNA from 1 species
GGAGGAGUGCCGGAGAGGACGAACGGGGCGGAUUCGAAAUCCGUUGGGGGUUAAAACUCCCUCGUGGGUUCAAAUCCCACCUCCUCCGC